UACGUAGGGGGCAAGCGUUGUCCGGAUUUAUUGGGCGUAAAGAGCGUGUAGGCGGCCAUUCAGGUCAGCUGUGAAAACUCGAGGCUCACCUCGAGACGUCGGUUGAAACCGUUUGGCUAGAGUCCGGAAGAGGAGAGUGGAAUUCCCGGUGUAGCGGUGAAAUGCGCAGAUAUCGGGAAGAACACCCGUGGCGAAGGCGGCUCUCUGGGACGGUACUGACGCUGAGACGCGAAAGCGUGGGAGCGAACGAGG
rnacentral:rRNA from 1 species